GUGGGGAAUCUUGCGCAAUGGGCGAAAGCCUGACGCAGCCAUGCCGCGUGAAUGAUGAAGGUCUUAGGAUUGUAAAAUUCUUUCACCGGGGACGAUAAUGACGGUACCCGGAGAAGAAGCCCCGGCUAACUUCGUGCCAGCAGCCGCGGUAAUACGAAGGGGGCUAGCGUUGCUCGGAAUUACUGGGCGUAAAGGGCGCGUAGGCGGACAGUUUAGUCAGAGGUGAAAGCCCAGGGCUCAACCUUGGAAUUGCCUUUGAUACUGGCUGUCUUGAGUACGGGAGAGGUGAGUGGAACUCCGGGUGUAGGGGUGAAAUUCGUAGAUAUUCGGAAGAACACCAGUGGCGAAGGCGACUCACUGGCCCGUUACUGACGCUGAGGCGCGAAAGCGUGGGGAGCAAACAGGAUUAGAUACCCGAGUAGUCC
rnacentral:rRNA from 1 species